GGUCUCGAUGGUGUAAUGAGGAAGUCCGGUUGAGAUUGAGGAUCCCGUGGAUAGAAGAGGGGUUGAGAUAGACAGAUUUUGAGACAUUCAACUGUCUGGCAGGCAUAGGCGUUCUUAAAUCUGUCAGAAGAUUAUUCUUCUAAAUAACCCCUGUUAGAAGAUUGCUGACAGAUCAUCCACUUUGUGGGCGCUUUUGGUGACAUUAGAAAGCUAUCUGAAUACGGGCGCACCUCCAUGGCUGGAAAAUCUACAUGGAAGACACUUAGAAUUGUCUGCCAAACAGCCAAAAGAUAUUACCGAUAGAGUUGGAGCAGAAUCUGCUUCAGUGCUGGCGACGCCCUCUCGAAACAUGCCAUACUUGUUUGUCUU